GAGUUUGAUCAUGGCUCAGAACGUACGCUGGCGGCACGCCUAACACAUGCAAGUCGAACGCAGUAGCAAUACUGAGUGGCAAACGGGUGAGUAACAUGUAGGUAUCUACCCUUUGGCCUGGAAUAACACGAGGAAACUUGUGCUAAUACCGGAUAAGUCUUUACGGAGAAAGCUUUAUGCACCAUUGGAUGAGCCUGCACUUGAUUAGUUUGUUGGUGGGGUAAUGGCCUACCAAGACUGUGAUCAAUAGCUGAUUUGAGAGGAUGAUCAGCCACAUUGGGACUGAGACACGGCCCAAACUCCUACGGGAGGCAGCAGUGGGGAAUCUUGCACAAUGGAGGAAACUCUGAUGCAGCGAUGCCGCGUGAGUGAAGAAGGCCCUUGGGUUGUAAAGCUCUUUCGUCGGGGAAGAAAAUGACUGUACCCGAAUAAGAAGGUCCGGCUAACUUCGUGCCAGCAGCCGCGGUAAUACGAAGGGACCUAGCGUAGUUCGGAAUUACUGGGCUUAAAGAGUUCGUAGGUGGUUGAAAAAGUUGGUGGUGAAAUCCCAGAGCUUAACUCUGGAACUGCCAUCAAAACUUUUCAGCUAGAGUAUGAUAGAGGAAAGCAGAAUUUCUAGUGUAGAGGUGAAAUUCGUAGAUAUUAGAAAGAAUACCAAUUGCGAAGGCAGCUUUCUGGAUCAUUACUGACACUGAGGAACGAAAGCAUGGGUAGCGAAGAGGAUUAGAUACCCUCGUAGUCCAUGCCGUAAACGAUGUGUGUUAGACGUUGGAAAUUUAUUUUCAGUGUCGCAGCAAAAGCGAUAAACACACCGCCUGGGGAGUACGACCGCAAGGUUAAAACUCAAAUGAAUUGACGGGGACCCGCACAAGUAGUGGAGCAUGUGGUUUAAUUCGAAGACACGCGCAGAACCUUACCAACACUUGACAUGUUCGUCGCGACUCUAAGAGAUUAGAGUUUUCGGUUCGGCCGGACGAAACACAGGUGCUGCAUGGCUGUCGUCAGCUCGUGUCGUGAGAUGUUGGGUUAAGUCCCGCAACGAGCGCAACCCUCACUUUUAGUUGCCAUCAUUAAGUUGGGCACUCUGAAAGAACUGCCAGUGAUAAGCUGGAGGAAGGUGGGGAUGACGUCAAGUCCUCAUGGCCCUUACGUGUUGGGCUACACACGUGCUACAAUGGUACUUACAAUGGGAAGCAAAGAUGCAAGUCCUAGCCAAUCCCUAAAAUGUACCUCAGUUCGGAUUGUACUCUGUAACUCGAGUGCAUGAAGCUGGAAUUGCUAGUAAUCGCGGAUCAGCGCGCCGCGGUGAAUACGUUCCCGGGUCUUGUACACACCGCCCGUCACACCAUGGAAGUUGGUUACACCUUAAGGCAAAGCUUAUACCUUUGACUACGGUACGAUCAGCAACUGGGGUGAAGUCGUAACAAGGUAACC
rnacentral:rRNA from 1 species